rnacentral:lncRNA from 1 species
GUAAAAGACUGGUUUUUAUCGGUCAACAGUACGACCGAAACAGAUAGAAAAAGCAACGAUAGACAUCGCAACCUCGCGCAUGCGCAGACCGUGGACUUUAUCGGUCGGAGCCGAGUCGUAACUGUGCGGAAACUCCCUAAUUGAGUACUCGAUUGUAAAUUAAUUUGCACACAAUUUUUACCAUAUUCCUGUUUAUAAAUAUCAAAUUUUACAAUUAUAUACGUAAUUGUCGUACUGUAUUUAGUUGCGAAAUAUUUCUCCCACGUAGAAUUUUCCUCUCGAGUAAAAAAAAAAAAGGAAAUUAGAAGUUUUCGUAAUUUUCCUGUCCUGAUUUUAUUAGUAUAUAGUCGCUAACAAUUAUCAAAUUAAUUUUUAUAAGAAAAAAAAAUUCUUUGAUUUUGAAUUUCCGCUUAAAUAACGUAAGCAUUAUUCGAACAGCGAGUUAAAAAGAUAUAGAAAAAAUAAAACCAAAUCCUCGAUAAAGUUUCUUUGCAACAGACGAAAGAAGGAAAAUCAUUCGAUUCCGAUCACUCAAGCGCAGAUCGAUGUCCGGAUUCUGCGAUUUAUCAACAUAUUGUGUUUUUUUUUUUUUUUUUUUGCAGAUACGUUUUAACGAUACAGUAUUAUUUAUACUAAAAAUAAAAAAAAAUAAUAUGCAUUAUAUAAACAAAAAAUUUUAUGCUGCUUAUAACCUAACAAGUCAAUUUAUAAAUGUGUCCAGGAAAAUAAUUUUUUUUUUUUUAUCUGCGAUUUCUUUUAUUUCUAAUUUUAAAUUAAAUAAUUUUUCAUAAAUAUCAAUCAUAUAUUAGUUUUCGAAUUUCAAUCAAAUAUCAAUAUAAAUUUGCAAUUUAUAAAUAUAUCUAGAAAACUAAAAUGGUUCA